CAGCAUCUCUGGAGAGAAGGAAUGGGUGACGUUUCGGGUCGAAAGGAAUGGGUGACCCUCCAGACUAGUAAAACCAUUGUUUUACUAUUCACAACAUUCAUGCAUUGACAUUGAUAAUCUGCCCAGUUUAAUCCCGUUCUUUUGGGGCCAGGUUUCUAGUCAUUCUCUCACACAAUCCCUUCUGGACCUUCCAUCACCCAUUUGGAUUUAUUAACCCAAACCCUCACUGGCUGGAUGGAUGGCAUUUUCAUUUGCAUUGAUGCGCAUUUACCCAGCGUGCAAAAUGUGGACUUGGAUGGAACUAUGUGCUUGGUUGAAGAGUCCAUGACAACAAAUAGCUGGGGGUACGGGAGGAAAAACUGAAUUUAUGAUCUAAACACUAAUGGAGGUGGUUAAUUCUAAGUUAACAGAUUUUGAACUGUGUGAGGAUCUAAAAAAA